CAAUAUAAGUGAUGGCGACCGGCGCACGGGUGAGUAACACGUAUCCAACCUGCCGAUAACUCGGGGAUAGCCUUUCGAAAGAAGGAUUAAUACCCGAUGGUAUAAUAAAACCGCAUGGUUUAAUUAUUAAAGAAUUUCGGUUAUCGAUGGGGAUGCGUUCCAUUAGGCAGUUGGUGAGGUAACGGCUCACCAAACCUUCGAUGGAUAGGGGUUCUGGGAGGAAGGUCCCCCACAUUGGAACUGAGACACGGUCCAA
rnacentral:rRNA from 1 species